GGUUUGGAAUGCAAACGUUCAGCCCCCCCUCAAAUAAAUUCCACCAGCCGCCACUGUUGGCUGGGAAAUACCAGACCUGUCCCCGAUCUCCCGUUGAAAGGUCCCGGUGGCCAAAAACCCCAAGGUAGAGCACACCUUUCCUGGUUUUGUAGGCGGAGUCACAGAAUCCAAGAUGGCAGCAUGUUAGGUUGUAUGUGAGUUGUGAGUUUGUCUCUCUGUCUGUGUUCAUUUUUUGCGCUAUUUUGUUUCUGCUACUCAUUGAGCACACUGGAUUUAAGGAUAUUAUCAUUCAUCAUAUGAAAUGAAUGCGGACUACCAGGACUCUGAAGGGCUAGAACAAAGGCAGCAGUAGCAGCCUUGCUAAUUCCCAAGGCCUCAGCAGCAGCAGCAGUAGCAGCCUAGCUAACACCUCAAGGCCCCAGCAGCAGCAGCAGUAGCAGCCUUGCUAACACCUCAAGGCCCCAGCAGCAGCAGCAGUAGCAGCCUUGCUAACACCUCAAGGCCCCAGCAGCAGCAGCCUUGCUAACAUCUCAAGGCCCCAGCAACAGAAGCCUUGCUAACAUCUCAAGGCCCCAGCAGCAGCAGCCCUGCUAACAUCCCAAGGCCCCAGCAGCAGCAGCUAGCAUAGUAAACUCAGUAAUUUAAAGACAAUGGCAUUUUUCUUAAUUUUAGUAUGUUUGUUGACAUUUUGGGACCUGACUCCAAGGAAUUGCCCCUUGGGAGGUGGGGAAUCCAGGAAGGAUUGGGAGGCGAAAGGAGCCGAUCGCCAACAGAGAUUGCGUUAAGCAGAAUAUGAUUUACGUUCUGUCCAAUUGUCUUUGAUUUACACGUGUGUGGAAGACAAUAAAAUAACUUCCUUGUGGAAAAAGCAAAACCUGUGUCCAGCGCUCCAUUGAACCCGUUACAGUGGAGCCCAACGAGGGGCGAGCGUACAGAAAUGGACCAGUCCCCAUUGGGAAACGUGCUCGGGCACCUAGCCCAGAUGGCGGAGAGACAAGGCCAGCUCCACCAGGCGCAGAACGAGGCGCUCACGGACCUGGCACAAUCCUUGGCCGCCGAUCGGGCCAUGCUCCGGGAGCUCCUCGCCUCCGGCGGACGCGGCGAAGGACCCCGGGGGGCGGGACCCGCGACGCACAUACACGUCCCGAAGAUGGGGGAGGCAGACGACGCGGAAGCCUUCCUCGAGACCUCCCAGGGGCUGGCCGAGGUCUCAGGGUGGCCCCGCCCGGAGUGGGCGCACCGUCUCCUGCCGCUCCUAACAGGAGAGGCGCAGCUUGCGGCUCACAGUCUGCCGGCUGGGGGCCCAGCGGGACUACGACGCCAUCACCAGGGCCAUCCAAGACCGUCUGGGCCUCUACCCGGAGGAACAUCGCCGGCGUUUUCGGGCGCUGGCCUUCCGAUACCACCGACCCGAGAGUCUCUCCGCCGCGGUCAUCCUGGCGGAGAGCCACCUGCAGCCACCACCAGCGGGCCAGCGACCACCGACACCGAGCCCACGUACCGGUGCGGCUGCCCCACGGCGGGACAGACCAACCCCGGCGCCGAGGGCGAGAUGGGGGGGCGUUCCAGAGCGGGCACAUGAGUCGCCUCCCACCCCCACUCCACAGACGGGCGCUCAAGCGGCAGGGGAGGGAUGCUGGCGGUGCGGGCGGCCUGGCCACUUCCGGCGGGAGUGCCCUAUGAUGGAGGUGGGUCAGGUCGUCCGCGUCACCGGUGCCCCGUCUCCUCCUCCUCCCCGGCGAGGCGUACCGUAUCCCGGGAGGUGGGGAAUCCAGGAAGGAUUGGGAGGAGAAAGGAGCCGAUCGCCAACAGAGAUCGCGUUAAGCAGAAUAUGAUUUACUUUCUGUCCAAUUGUCUUUGAUUUACACGUGUGUGGAAGACAAUAAAAUAACUUCCUUGUGGAAAAAGCAAAACCUGUGUCCAGCGCUCCAUUGAACCCGUUACAAAGGUCAAAAAAAAAAAAAAACACCUGCACUGGCACAGGUAUUGUGUUUGAUCGCCU
ensembl:lncRNA